GCGCACUUACGUCGGCACGUGCGAGUGUUAAGGCCCAGUCUCGGGGAGGGAGGUCUGGCGCUUUUUGCGCGUGUUUGCGGUGAGAGGCUCUCUGCUGGUUUGUAGAGUUCGGCCCUCAUGGCGGAGAUAAUUCAGGAACGCAUAGAGGAUCGAGUCCCAGAGUUGCAACAGUUGGAGCGCGUCGGACUGUUCAGUCAUGAGGAGAUUAAAGCUAUCAUUAAGAAGUCUUCACAUCUAGAAUACAGAAUACAGCGAAGAGCUCUUUAUAAGGAAGACUUUAUCAAUUAUGUUCAAUAUGAAAUUAAUCUUUUGGAGCUGAUCCAGAAAAGACGAGCUCGUACUGGGUAUUCAUUUAAGAAGGAUGAGAUUGAAGAUUGUAUUGUACACCGGGUACAAGGUGUCUUCCGACGUGCAUCAGCCAAGUGGAAAGAUGAUGUUCAGCUUUGGCUGUCUUAUAUAGUCUUUUGUAAGAAGUGGGCUACUGAAGUUCAACUCAGCAAGAUAUUCUCUGCCAUCUUGGCCGUUCAUUCGAACAAGCCAGCUUUGUGGAUUAUGGCAGCCAAGUGGGAAAUGGAAGAUCGCUUGUCUUCAGAAAAUGCAAGACAGCUAUUUCUUCGGGCUCUGCGCUUUCAUCCAGAAUGCCCAAAACUUUAUCAAGAGUACUUUAGGAUGGAGCUGAUGCAUGCUGAGAAAUUGAGGAAGGAAAAGCAAGAGUUUGAAAAAGCCAAGAUGGAUGUGGGGAAUCUCGAGUAUGCUGAAGAAAUCCUUACGGGCGAGUUGGCACGGAUCAUCUACAAAAAUUCUAUGAGCGUAAUUAAAAGUGCAGAAUUUCACGUGUCACUGCUUUCAAUUGCACAGCUAUUUGACUUUGCCAAAGAUCUGCAAAGAGAAAUUUAUAAUGACCUUCAGGCUCUGUACAUAGACGACCCCCUCACUUGGGAUUACAUGGCCCGGCGAGAAUUAGAGAUAGAGUCACAGCCAGGAGAAGAGCCGCCCACAACAAAACAAGCCAAGGCUGCGGAGGUGGGCCGCCGGGAGGAGAGGUGCUAUGCUGUGUACGAAGAGGCGGUGAAGACUCUCCCCACAGAGGCCAUGUGGAAGUAUUACAUCAACUUUUGCAUGGAAAGGUUUACUAAGAAUACAAGCAGUAAGCUCCUCAGAAAGAAGAGGCUGGAAAGAACCAUGGUUGCAUUCAGGAAGGCACAUGAUGUCAAACUUCUGUCAGAAUUCCAGUACAAGCAGUGGAGUGAGUUGUUGCUGCGCCGUGACCUCUUUAAGGAAGCUAUGGAGGUGGCAGAAGCCGGGAUGGAAUCGUUCAGAAACUCCGUGGAGAUGUGGCAGCUGAAGCUGCAGGUGCUGAUGACCUCGAAGAGCCGUGAGGUAUCCAGGCUUUUUGAAAACGCCUUUGUACAGCUGAAACCCCAGAUUUGUCUGUCAUUGUGGAGUGCUUGGACAGAGUGGAGUGAAAAUGCCAACAGCCAAGAAGACACUGAAAUGAUCUAUGAGAAAGCUGUCUUAGCUGUCACAGGUGCCGAGUCAGUCACUCUGAAGGAUAAGUACCUGGAUUGGGCUUAUCGAAGUGGUGGCUACAAAAAGGCCAGAACUGUGUUUGAAAGUUUACAGGAAAGGCGUCCACUUUCAGUUGAUUUUUUCAGGAAGAUGAUCCAGUUUGAAAAGGAGCAAAUGUAGAUUUAGGAAUGGUAAUCCAACAAAGAAGAAAAGGAACAUGUCUGGAAACUAGACACCUCAGAUGUCACCUCUUACAGGAAGCCUUCCCUGCCGGGCUGUGUGAGGUGCAGCCUCUCUGCCUCCACGGUGCCCUGUUUGUUUCUUGUUUUGGGUUGUGAGGUAGAGAGUAGGCACUCGUAACUGUUUCUGGUGUUUUUAACUGAACUUGUGAAUGAGGAAAAAUACAGGAAAGUGUUAGUUAAAAAAAAAAAUACGCGGAAGUCCAAAAUAUCUGUAAUCCCCUCACAAUAACAGGACCAGCCAUAUUUAUUUUAUUUACAUAUAUAAGCACAGUUUUGUAGUGUUUUAUUUCUGACUUAUGUGACACGCGGCGGUUCUCUUUUUUUUCUUAACAUUAUUUUGUAAACACAUUCCUGUGUUUUUACAUGGUAUUAUUUUUAAUGGUUGCUGUAUUAUUCUUACACUUGUAGGUUUCUUAACCAUUCCAUUACUUAUAGGUUGUUUCUCGAUUUUUGAUAUUGAAAACAGCGCUGCAAGCAUUUUGUUUACAUAGGUUUUUUUGUUUUUGUUUUUUAAGUUACUUUCUUGAGAUAAAUUUCAAGGACUGGAGGUACUGGCUUUUUUAAUAGCUCUUUACAUAUUGCCAGAUAAUUCUCUAAAUUACUUACAGUGAUAAUGACCUGUUUCCUUCAUAUCUUCUCCAAGUAUUCAGUUUUGCUUUUUCUCCUUUAUUUCGGUAUUUUGAUUGGUGUUUAUUAUUUUUAUUUGCAUUUUUGAAAAAUUAAUAAUGAAGUUGAACUCUGAUUUUCAUAGUUUUGACCAUUGUCUGGGUCAGUGAUCUGUUUUUUUUUUUUUUUUUUUUUUUUGUGAUCUGUUCUUAUCUUACACUGUGGGAGAUAAUCUAGCAUAAUAAUUCACAGCCAGGCUUUGAAUUAAUAACACAAUAGUUAUGUGCCUUGGGCAAGUCACUUAAUUCUAAGCCUUGACAUCCUCAUCUGUCAGGGAGGCCGUAAUACCUGUUUCAGGGGUGUGAGGCCAGGUGCGAGACUGGAUGGAAAGGACUUUGCACAGUUACAUGCACACUGUGAGCCCUUCACAAAGCCUGAUUCUGUUUUCCAUGCAUGUGUAAGAUGGGAGGUUAAACUAGCUUUUUAUAAAACAGUGUAGUCUCAGUGAAGAGAAAUUGGAAUGAGGAAAUAGUUAUUUCUCUACACUAAAAGAUUUCUAAACUGAAGAUGUUAAUCUGCUUUGAAAAUGAAAUGAAGAGAAUACAUUUAAAUGGAAGUAGAGGUGAGGAAUGCACAUUUAUGUACUGUAAAGUUAGCACUGGGUAUUGUGCUCAGUGCAUGAUUCAUCCACAUUUUAACUGAAUCCUUGUAGUUGGCCUAAGAGAUGUUGUUAUCCUCGUUUUCUCGGUGAGGAAACUAAGGUCACAGGGUUCAGAAAACUUGCUGAAGGUCAUGUAAGUAGUAUUUAUAUAUACUUUGCCUUGAUAUAAAAAAUUUUAAGGUGGGUAUGGAUAAUAUGUGCUAGAGCCCAGAUAUUCAAAGGAAGAAAUCCCUAGCCAUAGGGAAUAGAACCUUCCCCAUUUAGUUAUUUAAAUCCUACCCCUCCCUCAGGGCUUCCACAUAUAUUUUCCUGUGGAGCUGCUCAUGUACCCCCAGCUGAGAAUUAAUUAGGCUUUUCCCAUGCUACCAGAGCAAAGUGCUUUGAGCAAAGUGCUUUCAUCACCGUUUGACAUUUACUUCACUCUGCCACGUAGUGCAUUUGACCUUUCUCUGGGUAAGUUCAGAGUCCGGCUGUGUUCCUUCAAACCCUUCUCUCCUCCUCUUCAGAUACCUCAUAGACAGUAGCUGUUUAACAGUGUGGGUGAAAUGAAUUGGUGACAUUAUAAAUUAGAUUUUUGAGGCAAAAUUGUCUGAUUAUUUUUGUUAGGAAUCCUGCAAGAUGGCGAACUUAAGAGACUAUUAUGAGAGGGCUUUGAGAGAAUUUGGAUCUGUAGAUUCUGAUCUUUGGAUGGAUUACAUCAAAGAAGAAUUGAACCACCCCCUUGGUAGACCUGAGAACUGCGGACAUAUCUAUU